UGCUGGGCCUCCAUUAGGACAAGGCCCUGAGGUAAGGCUGAAGAUGGCACAGGGCUGUGGGGAGGCGGCCCAGGGAAUUAAAGCCGCAGCAUGACUUAGAUAAAAGGACACAGUAGACUAUGGAGCUGGAAGCCAGGAGGCAGAGUGAGGAGGCAGAGCUGGAGCAACAGAAUCUUGAUGACCAGGACAAAUGCAGGCCUCUUGAAAAGGAGAAGAGGGUCAGGUCACAUCCACGGGACUGAAGACAGCAGAAAUAAGGGUGUGCCUGAUCAGUGGCUAGCUGACAAACAGAUGUGUGUAUGAUGGACCCCAUCACCCUGCCUGGAGCCUGAGUCAUCAUGGACACUAAAGGUUGUUCUGAGAUUCUGACUGUGGGAACAUGGGGAAUUAUUUUUCUUGAUGUGGUGUUUUCUGUAAUGAGGCAACAAGGGUUAAAUCCCAAGGGCACACGUAGAAGCCUGCCAUGGCCAGACUCAGUGGUCGAGAUAGCAAGCUCAUUGUCUACCCUCGCCAGGGAAACUGAGACAGUGUCAAGUGUGUCUGGCCCAGUUAAAAGGUGCUGUGGCCCAGAAUCUGCUGGGAAUAGUGAGUCACUCGUACAGUUAAAAAAUGCUUUGGACCAGAACUCCACUGGGGGCAGGGAAGGUUGGUGAGUGCAGUAACACACUGGUACAGCUAGGAAAUGGUGUUUACUAGUUUGUUCAGCAGCUGCAUAAAUUAAUACAUUAAAAAAUACUUCCUAUGGCAA